GUUGUGAACAAUGCAGUGCAAUGCCAUUUUCUUGAUUAGUGUUUAUUUUGGUUAUCUGAAAUCAUUUUAAGUGAAAAAAAAUCAACCAUUCUGCCAAAAUUAUUUUUGAUUUCAAACUUGCAUGAGACAUUUCUGGAAGUAUUACAUAAUAAUAAUAUGAUAAAAUAUUUGGAAUUCUUAUAUAGUAGUAAACAUUUAACGAUAAAUUGGCAAACUAUUUUUAAUUAUACUAUAAUAGAUGUGAGAUUUCUUAAUUCAGUUUGUGAGGAUUUGACUGGUGACUUACUUGUACGGUGGCCAUCGGGUUGGAGUUUGCUGGUGUCGACAUGGGAUGGUUUUGUCUAGUUGCCAGCUUGAAGCCUUGCCUCCGACUGUAUUUUGUUUAAUUUAUGAAAAAGUGUUAAUAAUAAUUUGUUCUAUUAUAAUGAUAAAAAUAUUGUUUAGCUUAAUACAAGAAGUUAUAUUCAAUUAUUGUAAACUUUGUUUCUUAAUUGUUACAUAAAUAUGAUAAUGAGAUUACAUUUAAAAGGAAGGUCUAAAGAAGGUGUUGUUGUCUUGCCUAUUAUUUGGUCGUUACGUCUCUGUAGUAUCAGCUAGUGCUGUUUUUAUGUUGUUCAUCUGUUGUUGGUGUUUUUGGAGUAUUCAUUAUGUCGGAGGCUUUGAUUACAUCCAAGUGGUUGUCAAUUUGAAGACAUGGACUAUUGGAAAUCUGUUUGCAGACUUGGAAGUUGUGUUUUGUUGGUUGAAGACUGGAAGAUGUUUGAGAAACCACCAUAGAAAGGCAAAUAUACAAUUUAUAUUGGUGAGAUUUUUUGCUGUAAGUAGUUUUGAAGUUGUGAAGUUUUCGUUUAAUAAAGUCACUUAUUAUGGAGCAGUGGUGUGAAUCGCUUAUUCGCUGGUUGGACACCAAUGAACUGAAUUAAUAUUAAGAUAAGUUCAAAUAAAAAAGAGACGCAGAGUCAAACCGAUAGUGAAAAUACCGGGUUAUAUCUAAAUUUCUCAAGUUCAAAUACUUGACUGUUGUCAAAUUUAUUAAUGUUAUAUAUUUAUUGUUUUUUUAUAUUUUUUUAUUGUAGUAU
rnacentral:lncRNA from 1 species